rnacentral:rRNA from 1 species
GACGAACGCUGGCGGCGUGCUUAACACAUGCAAGUCGAGCGAUGAAGCACCUUCGGGUGUGAAUUAGCGGCGAACGGGUGAGGAACACGUGAAGAAUCUGCCUUCAACUCUGGGAUAACUCCGGGAAACCGGGGCUAAUACCGGAUAUGAGCCUUGAUCGCAGGAUCGGGGCUGGAAAGUUAUUCGGUUGAAGAUGACUUCGCGGCCUAUCAGCUGGUUGGUGAGGUAAUGGCUCACCAAGGCGACGACGGGUAGCUGGCCUGAGAGGGCGACCGGCCACACUGGGACUGAGACACGGCCCAGACUCCUACGGGAGGCAGCAGUGGGGAAUAUUGGGCAAUGGAGGAAACUCUGACCCAGCGACGCCGCGUGAGGGAUGAAGGCCUUCGGGUUGUAAACCUCUUUCAGUAGGGAAGAAGCGAAAGUGACGGUACCUACAGAAGAAGCACCGGCUAACUAUGUGCCAGCCGCCGCGGUAA